GAUCAUGGCUCAGGAUGAACGCUAGCUACAGGCUUAACACAUGCAAGUCGAGGGGAAACGAUAUUGGAAGCUUGCUUCCGAUAGGCGUCGACCGGCGCACGGGUGAGUAACGCGUAUCCAACCUGCCCACCACUUGGGGAUAACCUUGCGAAAGUAAGACUAAUACCCAAUGAUAUCUCUAGAAGACAUCUGAAAGAGAUUAAGAUUAUCGUGAUGGAUGGGGAGUGCGUCUGAUUAG
rnacentral:rRNA from 1 species